rnacentral:rRNA from 1 species
AUGAACGCUAGCUACAGGCUUAACACAUGCAAGUCGAGGGGCAGCAUGAACUUAGCUUGCUAAGUUUGAUGGCGACCGGCGCACGGGUGAGUAACACGUAUCCAACCUGCCGAUGACUCGGGGAUAGCCUUUCGAAAGAAAGAUUAAUACCCGAUGGCAUAGUUCUUCCGCAUGGUAGAACUAUUAAAGAAUUUCGGUCAUCGAUGGGGAUGCGUUCCAUUAGGUUGUUGGCGGGGUAACGGCCCACCAAGCCUUCGAUGGAUAGGGGUUCUGAGAGGAAGGUCCCCCACAUUGGAACUGAGACACGGUCCAAACUCCUACGGGAGGCAGCAGUGAGGAAUAUUGGUCAAUGGACGAGAGUCUGAACCAGCCAAGUAGCGUGAAGGAUGACUGCCCUAUGGGUUGUAAACUUCUUUUAUACGGGAAUAAAGUGAGGCACGUGUGCCUUUUUGUAUGUACCGUAUGAAUAAGGAUCGGCUAACUCCGUGCCAGCAGCCGCGGUAAUACGGAGGAUCCGAGCGUUAUCCGGAUUUAUUGGGUUUAAAGGGAGCGUAGGCGGACGCUUAAGUCAGUUGUGAAAGUUUGCGGCUCAACCGUAAAAUUGCAGUUGAUACUGGGUGUCUUGAGUACAGUAGAGGCAGGCGGAAUUCGUGGUGUAGCGGUGAAAUGCUUAGAUAUCACGAAGAACUCCGAUUGCGAAGGCAGCCUGCUGGACUGUAACUGACGCUGAUGCUCGAAAGUGUGGGUAUCAAACAGGAUUAGAUACCCUGGUAGUCCACACAGUAAACGAUGAAUACUCGCUGUUUGCGAUAUACAGUAAGCGGCCAAGCGAAAGCGUUAAGUAUUCCACCUGGGGAGUACGCCGGCAACGGUGAAACUCAAAGGAAUUGACGGGGGCCCGCACAAGCGGAGGAACAUGUGGUUUAAUUCGAUGAUACGCGAGGAACCUUACCCGGGCUUGAAUUGCAACUGAAUGAUGUGGAGACAUGUCAGCCGCAAGGCAGUUGUGAAGGUGCUGCAUGGUUGUCGUCAGCUCGUGUCGUGAGAUGUUGGGUUAAGUCCCGCAACGAGCGCAACCCUUAUCCUUUGUUGCCAGCGGUCCGGCCGGGAACUCAAAGGAGACUGCCAGUGAUAAACUGGAGGAAGGUGGGGAUGACGUCAAAUCAGCACGGCCCUUACGUCCGGGGCUACACACGUGUUACAAUGGGGGGUACAGAAGGCAGCUACACGGCGACGUGAUGCUAAUCCCGAAAGCCUCUCUCAGUUCGGAUUGGAGUCUGCAACCCGACUCCAUGAAGCUGGAUUCGCUAGUAAUCGCGCAUCAGCCACGGCGCGGUGAAUACGUUCCCGGGCCUUGUACACACCGCCCGUCAAGCCAUGAAAGCCGGGGGUACCUGAAGUGCGUAACCGCAAGGAGCGCCCUAGGGUAAAACUGGUGAUUGGGGCU